CUUGGUCAUUUAGAGGAAGUAAAAGUCGUAACAAGGUCUCCGUUGGUGAACCAGCGGAGGGAUCAUUACAGAAUCACUGUUACCGCGUGAACCCUUUGUGAACCUUACCGUCGUUGCCUCGGCGGCGAGCCUCGUGUCGAAAUCCGAAGGGUGCUACCCUGGAGCCACUUACCCUGUAGGUGGCUACCCCGGAGCUACGUCGUAGUGGACAUCGGCCCCGUCGAAGGACCCGUUAAGAAAUUCUUUGCAUCACGUCUGAACAAUAUUAAAAAAAAAUCGUUAAAACUUUCAGCAACGGAUCUCUUGGUUCUGGCAUCGAUGAAGAACGCAGCGAAAUGCGAUAAGUAAUGUGAAUUGCAGAAUUCAGUGAAUCAUCGAAUCUUUGAACGCAUAUUGCGCCCAUUAGUAUUCUAGUGGGCAUGCCUAUUCGAGCGUCAUUUUCAACCCCUUAAGCCCCUGUUGCUUAGCGUUAGGAAUCUGCGUCGCGGCGCAGUUCCCCAAAGGUAGUGGCAGUGUAGGGCACACUCGUAGCGUAGUAGAUUUAUCUCGCUUCCGACGUGUGGUCCCCGAACGACUCGCCGUAAAAUUCCCCCUUUUUAAUAGUGGUUGACCUCGGAUUAGGUAGGAAUACCCGCUGAACUUAAGCAUAUCAAUAAGCGGAGGA
rnacentral:rRNA from 1 species